UCGACAUUGCCUAUGAGUAGUUCCUUUC
rnacentral:sRNA from 1 species